UUGUUGUUGCACCAGAUUUUCCAAAUUGAAAAAUAAAAAGAAAAGGAACUAAAAGGUUAUGCAUUUCAUGUCUGUGUAAACAAAUCCAGAUUUCCGUAACUCAAAUUGCUGCUGAGACUCUCCAUAUUUUAAUGUGCGCACUGUAGCUCUUGCUACUAAAUCUCUGCAUGUAUCCUGGGAAGUUAAUCCUGAAUUAGGAAACAGAAAAACUGAUUAAAAUAAAAUUGGGCCAAGUUCACAAUUUUUAUAUUCAUAAGAUUCAAAAUUUCUGUGAGGACAUGUGCAAUGCUAAUUGAAUUAUCUUCCAGGGUAAUAACAAAAAAACAAAACAAAAAACGGAAACCAAAACAACGGUAAAAUCUGGGUUUCCAUGCAGAGAGAUGUGUGAAUUAGGCUUGCUGUGUUUUCGGUUCAUUGUGAUUCACUAUUCUGCCCCUGUCAAACACCCUUUACUCACUAGGCUGUGCAAGCUCAAUUCUCUUCAGUCCUCAGUAGAUAUUAUCCAUUUUUUAUGUAGCAACAUUUCUUCAAAUUUUAUACUUUUAACAAAAGAGGUUUUUCACUGAACUUUGAAGAUAGCAUUAUUAGACCAUAUAAUGUUUUAAUCACUGUCUUUUCUGAUUGCCUUUAGGACAAAGGAGCAGUUAUAAAUGUUCAAAGAAAAGUCAGGAAGGUGAAAGGCCAUUGUUUUUGAGCCUGUAGGCACGAGCUAAGUGAAAUUGAGUAUUAAGGAAAUAGUACAGAAAAUUUGAGUCUCAACAUUUCCUUUUAAUAAAUUGGAUUAAUUGGAACAUCUUUACAACAGAUCUUUCUUUUUUCCUUCCAGGCCCACUCUCUGUCCCUGCCUACUGUCUUCUCUGCCCAAGGAGGCUGAUCUGUGUGGGCCUCACCAGUUCUGGAACACACCAACUUCUCCUUUGCCUGAGGACCUUUACCCAUGUUACUCACUCUGUCUGGACUCUUCUGCUCCCUGCUCUUCAUUUGAGAGAGGAAAGGAGAAGAAGAGGCAGAGA